UUUUCAAUUUCAGUUAGUCAUGUCCAAUUUCUCAUAUUCCUUGGACUUUAUCUCAGAUCUUGGGGCCCACUUAAGGGCUAAAAGGGUAAAUUCAAGAUUAAAAAAAUAAAAACAACCAAAUUCGACCUCUCUCUCUCUCGGAGAUGAUCACUCCCCUAACCAUUUCCUCCUCUAUUCUCUCUCUCUCACUGCCUCACCACCACCAUGGCCCCCGACCAAGAUGACGCCGUUCUCCCCAAAGGCGACCUCUCGUCCUCCCCAAGACGACGAGGAAGAAGAUGAAGUCGUUGACAAGGAUGACGUCGACGACUCCCCUUCUCUUUCCUCCACCUCUGAUUCCCUCCCCAUCGCCAUAGCCACAGCUCUUCCCAUUGUCACUGUCGCGCUCCCUGCUCCUCUUACCACCACCGCGCCUGCGACAGCCACGAUUUAGUACGACCCGGUCUUGCUGCAAGUGUUUCUAGACUACAUGAUGCAGAGGGCCCACCACUUCUCCGCCGUUGCCUUCAACGCCACCAAAACUCGACCAACAUUUUCAGUUGAUCCGCCAUUCAAUUUCUCACCCAUGGGAGAGCAAACCCAGGUUCGAAGCCCCAGCCCAAACUCAAGACUCCGCCUCCGAUCCAAUCAACAUCGAUUUGGACUACGCUCUACUCGCAUCCACCAAAGUGACUUACACGGAUCCGAUUUCGGGUCUGACCUACCGCAACCUCUUCGAUCAGAUGGUGGACCACCGCCAAGACUGAAGAGAGAAGCCAAAGCCAUCAUCUUUAGCUUUAAUUGGAUGGGUUGUUCCUUUUUUCAGAGGGAGGUUUCGCUCUGCUUUGGUUUGUAGUGAUUGAAUUGUGAUCUGGUGGUGCAGUUUGAGGAGUUUCAAGCAGGUUUUUGUGGAUUUUUGGAGGUGGGUUGGGUUUGGAAAUUGAUACCUCCAUUCAGGUGGUGGAUGUUGAGGAUUUAGCUCCAGAUCGAGUACUUUAUUUUUGAUGGAGAGGGACGGAUCCGAACCGAAGACGAGAACGCAAUCGCUGGUGGGAUGAACGGAGGAGCCAUGACGGUUGAAGGUGACGAAGCAGCUGACGUCAUAGUUUGAAUCAGGAGAGAAUCUUGCGUAGGGCACCCGCACGGACACGUGGUGGGGCGGGCCAAUCACCCCCCAGCAGGGGGGUGUUUUGGGUAUUUCAAUUCAGGGAGCAGGGGCAAUUUUGGAAAAGAUGAAAAAUUUCCUCUCUUCUGAUUGGUGGGCCGUAAAGACACGUGGUGGGGAAACCCCCACCUAAGAAUUUCUCUUGAAUCAGAGGUGGGUCUUUGGGGCUGCCCAUCGGAGAUGAGAGAGAGAAGAAGAAGAAGAGGAUCUAAGGAAGAAGAAGAAAUGAGUUUUUUUUUCCUUCAAAUUUUUUUUCUAUCUUGAAAUGACUAUUUUAGCCCUUGAAGUGGGACCGAUAGUCAGACUUAACGUCCAAUUUGGACGGAAUCUGAGAAAUUGGACAGGGCUGACUGAAAUUGGAAAGCUUGGGGGGUAAAAAUUCAAAAUUGAGAAUAGAGGGGGUGAAAUGAUGACACCCCCAAACCUCAGGGGGAUAAACUGAAAUUAAUUCUUCCUCAAAUAUAGGAUUGAGUUCGUAUACAUGAUUUACAAUUUUGUUUUUUAAGGAAAAAAAAAAAGCAAAUUGACAUGCGUAGAGCACAUGUUAAGAGGCUAGUAAUCUACUUAAUGUACAAAGUUCAUAGGCCAAGGUAGAAUAAAAAAAAAAAAAAAAUGAGAACUCAAAUCCUAUGUGUACCCCUAUGAUGUUUGACUAUAAAAAUAAAAAAACUCUAGAUUUUUAACUUC